GGCUAUGCCUCAAUUGAUAAAGUGAACUAAUUGCCUACUUCAAAAGCAGUUUUGCAUGAAAGUCAACAUCUAAUUGGAAUUUACAAUGCCCGAUAUUUCUACACAUCUGCCACAAAUUUUAUGGAAAACAAUAUUUAUAGAAACUGAACAUACCUUGGUUAAACGUAUAUGAAAUGGGUAACCAUCCUCGAAGAACAUCAACCAGCUGUCGGCAAUGUGCAGGUGGACUGAGGAAUUUUCCGGUGUGUCCUUUAUGGACUGUACUCCGUCUUAGCACAAUUCCCAAGUUUUACCCGAGAGGCCACGCUUCAGGUUGGACCGUCUUCCAUAUAUCUACUGACUUCAUAUAAAUGAAAGUGUACUAAAGGCUCACUGAUCUACACUACCAGCUCAUGCUCAACGUUACUGAACAACAAAGUAAUCCGACAAUCAGACUGGACCCGGUCAUGUUAGAUACCAGAGGAAGACGAAAAUA
rnacentral:lncRNA from 1 species